rnacentral:lncRNA from 10 species
GGAACAUUAAUUAAAUUCAGAGGGACUGGGUUUUAGUCCUAACUCUUAUUCCUACUGGCUGUGUAACCGUGGACAAAUUAUUUAACUUCUCAGAAUCAGGUUGUUCAAACCUGAGGUUGAACUGCAAAAAGGUUACGAAGUGACACUCAGUAGGGCCCGAAUCCAUGUUUUCUUUGAUCCCAAUCUUUUUUAAAAAAAUUUCUUUUAAUUACUUGCCAACAUUUUAGAAUUUGGAAAUCUCACAUGAAAUUCUGGACUUUUGAAGCUGAGGAAUUCCAUUGCAACAAUCAAGGAGACUAAAUAGGAAAUGACACUUCUGUUUGGCCAUCUUGCCCUCAUUGGUUUAGAAUGGCAGUGGUUCUCAACCCUGGCUGCACAUUAGAAUCACUUUAGGAGAGGUAAAACCAUACUCACGCUGGAGACCUACUCCUAGAAAUUCUAAAGAGUUUGGGGCUGGGAACUGGCCAUUGAUCUGCCUUUGAAGUUUCCCAAGUGAUUCCCAACCUCUGAUGUAAUAAAUUUCUGGCUGCUGUCGUAUUUGAGAUUUGACCCCCCCAGGUCUAAGACUUAAUUGAUUUUUAAGGCUGUAAGACAUUUCUAAGACUUUGACUUUUAAGACUUUCCUGCCUCAUUCUGAAGAGAAAAGGCCACAUGAGGACACCAUGAGAAGGCAGCUGUCUACAAGCCAGGAAGAGAGUCCUCACCAGAAACCAGCUCUGCUGGCACCUUGAACUUGGACUUCACGCCUCCAGAACAAUAUUAACACAGUGCUAUGUAAUGGAGGAAACCCAAGAAAUAUUUUUUGCCUUGAAGAAAAGAACACAAACUCAGAAGUCACAUGGAUCUAAGAUAAGACUUGCAAAGAUUUAAAUUCAAUUCUGCCAUUUACUUCAUAUGAGGACCUUGAGAACCAGUUGAUAGCAUAUCAGAAAAGCUAAUUAAUUUGCCAUGGUUACCAGGAAAACAGGGCCUAGUCUCCAAAGUACAGCCAAAUAGAGGAGCCAAAUAAAAAAGAGGGAAAUUUUUGUCAUGCAUCUUGUUUUUCUGAAAUGUUAUGUUUUAAAAUAUAUCAAUAUUCAAAACACCAUGUGCUUUAUUGAGUUUUAACUCUUAAUUUUGUCCUCUUUUUUCUGCUAGGGUGUUUUUGAGCAGACAAACAAUUUCUUAUUGCCAGGAUACAGCCUGGAACUCUUAAGCACACCAGGCAAGCAUAUGUAUGAAAUAAAAUUUCUACAAAGAAGAGAUUCGUCAAAAAGCAUCACUGGGACACCAACCAAGUGUAAGGCUCUGUGAGGAAAAGGGAAUUUCAGAAAACUGUCAUACCCAGCCACUGCCAGUGAGGAUAUGGUAAUCUUCUUUGGGGACAGAGUGCACAUUCCCCUGAUAAGUCUAGAAAGCAUAGGAUUAGGGCCCAGUGUCGGGCAGACAAUACAUAUUACAGGAAUUUAGGAGAGAGGCAAGUCACAAAAGGCUGAAGAGUUCAGGGAAAACCUCACAGAGGUGAGCCAGGGAUGAUUUCUGAUGGCUGGAGAAGAGGAAAAGAAGAAAUGUCACAAAGUGCACCAUUAUCAGAAAAAAGACAGAGAGUCAAACACUUUAGGUGGAACAGAAAGCUCCAGUCAGGAAAUAAUGAGAUCGAAUUAUAAAAAGAACCAAAAUGUCAAGCUAAGAAAUUUGGAACUGAUCCAGAGAGUAGCUGGAAAGCUGCUGAAUAUUUUAAAGGGAAAAAAAUUACAAAGUGAAAGCAGUUUUGGAUUUGAUUUUUUCAGUUUUCUUUAUUUUGCUGAAAGGAAAUAAGUUCACAUAGUCUAAAUUGAAAAAGUACAAUAAAUAGUGAAAGGUCUCCCUCCCACUUCGGUCCCCUGCUGCCUAUUUUUCUCCCUGGAGGCAAACCAAUGUUAGCAGCUUCUUAUAUAUUCUUCCAGAGAUAACUAUGCCCAUGGAAAUAAAGACGCACAUAAAUUUUUCCCUCCUCCUUUGUAAAUGAGAUGCGUAGACACUUAUUUACCUUGCAUUUUUCACUCCAAAAUCUAACUUACAGAUUAUUUUGCAUGAAUACAUAAAAAAGGUCCUCGUUCACUUUUUUAAAUUAUGCUAUGAAAAUUCAACAUUCACUCUUUUUUAAAUAGAUGCAUUGGUACAAAAGAAUAUACAGGCGAAAUUGUCUCUAACUCUUCUGCAACUUGCUGCGCUGUUCUCCCUGGAGGCGGUGUCUAGUUUCUUAUAUAUCCCUCCAG